UUAAUUUGGUCUGUUGGUCUCCAAUCUCCAGUCCAAGCGUGUAAUGUGUAGAGUUUAGUGCAGCGGAUGGGUGGGCUUCGUGAUGGAGCGCAAAGCCCAGUCGGAGUGCAUCUCGGUACAUUAUAGAAAUCAUGGCAUGCACAGUUGAGCAUUGUUCCUGAAGUGCCACAGCCCCAGGGAUCUCCAGUAGAAACAAGCAAACUCUAACUAGAUCUGGGUCCCCUUCUCUCCCAAGGGCACUACUUAUCAUGUUGUUGAGCAUUUGCUUAUUUUGCCUUGUUUACUGCACUUCACACAGGCAGUGGGCAGCAAAUGUGCUUCCACUUGGGUUAUUUGGCCCGAACUUGUGCCGCUCUCUGCACAGCACCCACUGCACCAAACUGUUAGUGAUUAGAGUAAUCCACAACACCUGCUGAUGACCUCUCCUCCAUCUAUUACACAUGACUCGGUCCCCAUUUCAUUUGGUCUUAACUGCUCUCAGGUGUGAGGGCAUGAUUGUCUUGAAAAUGGAUAAGGCAUGGAACAUGGACAUAAUUAAGACCAUGCAUCUCUGUAGUGCUCAUACUGUGUGCUGUGCCAGAAAAGUGAGGAACAAACUUUAGACCUGCACGCAGACUAAAAAUGACCUCACCCACUGGAUUUGUCUAUAUGGGUCAUAUGGAAGCAGAUGACUAAGGCACUCCUUGGAUCUCUAUAAUCAACUACAACACAAGCAAAAGUGCAAUCCCGAAGCCGUUCUACUGGGGAGAUCUUAACCUUGAGUUUGCAGGGAGACUCCUCCU